AUGCAAGUCGAGCGGCAGCGCGGGGCAACCUGGCGGCGAGCGGCGAACGGGUGAGUAAUACAUCGGAACAUGUCCAGUCGUGGGGGAUAGCCCGCCGAAAGGCGGAUUAAUACCGCAUACGCCCGAGAGGGGAAAGCGGGGGACCGUAAGGCCUCGCGCGAUUGGGUUGGCCGAUGUCCGAUUAGCUUGUUGGUGAGGUAAAAGCUCACCAAGGCGAUGAUCGGUAGCUGGUCUGAGAGGAUGAUCAGCCACACUGGGACUGAGACACGGCCCAGACUCCUACGGGAGGCAGCAGUGGGGAAUUUUGGACAAUGGGGGCAACCCUGAUCCAGCCAUUCCGCGUGAGUGAAGAAGGCCUUCGGGUUGUAAAGCUCUUUUGUCCGGAACGAAACGGUGCAGGUGAAUAUCCUGCGCUACUGACGGUACCGGAAGAAUAAGCACCGGCUAACUACGUGCCAGCAGCCGCGGUAAUACGUAGGGUGCAAGCGUUAAUCGGAAUUACUGGGCGUAAAGCGUGCGCAGGCGGUUUUGUAAGCCAGAUGUGAAAUCCCCGGGCUUAACCUGGGAAUGGCAUUUGGGACUGCAAGGCUUGAGUACGGCAGAGGGGACUAGAAUUCCUGGUGUAGCAGUGAAAUGCGUAGAUAUCAGGAGGAAUACCGAUGGCGAAGGCAGGUCCCUGGGCUGAUACUGACGCUCAUGCACGAAAGCGUGGGGAGCAAACAGGAUUAGAUACCCUG
rnacentral:rRNA from 1 species